UACAGAGGGGGCAAGCGUUGUUCGGAAUUACUGGGCGUAAAGCGCACGUAGGCGGGUUUGUAAGUAGGGGGUGAAAUCCCUGGGCUCAACCCAGGAACUGCCUUCUAGACUGCAAGCCUGGAGGUCAGGAGAGGCGAGUGGAAUUCCGAGUGUAGAGGUGAAAUUCGUAGAUAUUCGGAGGAACACCAGUGGCGAAGGCGACUCGCUGGACUGAUACUGACGCUGAGGUGCGAAAGCGUGGGGAGCAAACAGG
rnacentral:rRNA from 1 species